GACGGAGGGUGCAAGCGUUAUCCGGAAUGAUUGGGCGUAAAGCGUCCGCAGGUGGCAGUUCAAGUCUGCUGUCAAAGACCGGGGCUUAACUUCGGAAAGGCAGUGGAAACUGAACAGCUAGAGUAUGGUAGGGGCAGAGGGAAUUCCUGGUGUAGCGGUGAAAUGCGUAGAUAUCAGGAAGAACAUCGGUGGCGAAGGCGCUCUGCUGGACCAUAACUGACACUCAGGGACGAAAGCUAGGGGAGCGAAUGGG
rnacentral:rRNA from 1 species